rnacentral:lncRNA from 10 species
AACAGUCUCCUGGAUCUGGUGUGGAAGGUAAGACUCUCCACUAUCACCCAGCAUCACAUUCGUCUCAGCUUGAGGUUUCGGCUGACUUGAGAUGGAGUCCUCAAAGACCCCUCCAAUGAAAGCAUCUCAGGCAGACGGAUGCAGUUGAUACCGUGAGUUGAAAGGUGUGACUUUACAUCGAACGCCGUGCAGAUUUCCCCUUGGUGGUUUUAUCUGGGCACAUCUGCCAGCUGAGAACACUCUGGUUCUCAAUUCUAACGCUCCUGUCUGCGUGAACAUAUUCGUGUCUAUCCAACUCAACUAAAAAAAAAUGGGAACAUGGUCAGUCAUGGGAUGGAUAAAUAGAUGUUGGUCUAUUCCUACAAGGGAAUACUAUACAGUAAUGAGAACAAACAACCCACAUCUACACCCAGCCACUUGGGUGAGUCUCACAAACACAAGGGUGAGAGAAAGAAGCCACACAUGAGUACCCACUGUAUAAUUCCACUUAUAUGAAGUUCAAAGGCAGGCAAAACUGAACAUGGUGCUAGAAAUCAGAAUUGGGUGGUGGUGGGGGUGCACAGUGAUGGGGACAGGACUUGAGGGGAUUUCUGGGAG